UUAAGAGGAGUAUUUAUUGUAUUACAAGUUUACUGAACUGUUAUGUUUAAAUAUGCAAAUGAGGCGUUAUGUAAUUGUAACUUUUGGUGACUUUAGGAGAAAUCUACAGCCGUAAAGAGACAAAAUAAUAAAAUGAAUAUUUUAUUUCCUCUAGUCUGAAAGAAAACAUAACCAGUGAGUUUGCCUGUAGUUUCUUGCCUUAAGUAGUAAAAAAGAUGAAAUAAUUUGAUGCACCCACUCCGGUCCGGCUGACAUGUUUCCCUUCUCUAGAACCGUUGUGGCCUCCUCCAGAUGGCUGCAGUCUCACCUUAGUGAACCGUAGUGUGUGUGGAGCUCUCCCGGUCCGAUCCCUCUUAGAGCUCUUAGACGCAUUAAAGUCUACCAGGGGGCUUACAGCCGGGCACAGACACGGAGGCGUUGGGAGACAGCGGCCGGCUCCCUGUGCGUGUACCGGCCGACAGAUGAUCCUUCGCUUCGGCCACUGAGCCUUAAUUAAAUGCACUAAUUGACCACUCUGUCUCCCCCCUCUCUCUCCCUCCCGUCCCUCUGUCUCCUUCUCCGUCCACAGUAAGUCAAGGACCUCCCUACAACCCAGAUGGCCAGCCGAUGGGGGGCUUCGUCAUGGACGGCCAGCAGCACAUGGGAAUCAGACCACCUGGAGCAAUGGGUGGAAUGGGCAUGAACAUGGGCAUGGAAGGUCAGUGGCACUACAUGUAGCCGCGCCCCUGUCCCACCAAUCGCAACACAACGGGGAUAGCUGCAGGAUCAAACCGGUGGAUGGCGUGUCUCACCGAGGCCUCCGGAGCACGGGAACAGGACUCCUUGACUUCCUGACGACGACCAACAGCAACCCCUCAGUCCAUCUCCCAAGACCCAACAACAAUUUUAUUCGGCUGACAUGUACAACAUGGAAACUUGAAUCCAGCGGCGAAACUACGUCCAACCCAGAUGACCCCCCCCUCCCCCAAAGACCCCUGCUUCUUCUCUGGUGGGCUCCAGACUUCUUCGCCCCCCGUUCUUUUGCCCAAUAGGCUCACGUGGAUUCCUCCAUUAACAAGUGAUUGUGAUUGCGAUUGUGAGCGUUGAUGACACACCGUGUCCUACGCCUGUACUUUUAAGGGGUAUGCAGCACCUGGUGAAAUAUUCCUGACUCUUCGGGCAAACGAAAGAGACUUCCUGUGAAGAGCGCUCCACUCUUUGGGACGAUGGAAUUGGACCAAGGAGAAGCCAAUGUCUGUAUCCGACAGGACACUAACAAAGCAAAAGAGGUGCCCUUUAAAAAAACACAACAUAUAGUGGAUUGAAACAUGGAAGGAGGGAAAGCAAGAGAAAGAAAUUAAAAGUAUAACUAUAUCAACCCCUAGUUUGGGAAGUGAGUGGAGAAAGAAAAUAUACUGUAUACUGUUGUAAAAUUACGCUGGACUCUCACAAGAACUGGGAAUUUAAGUAUUGUAAAUGCUAUUGUAUUGUUCCGCAUAUUAUGUUGUUUCUAAUAGAUUUUUUUUUAAAAAGGAUGUGAACUUUUUUCCCUUUUUUUUCUGGUUUCUUUCCACACUAUGUGUGUGCCGUCUGUCCAUCGAAUUUGACCUCCUGCCCCCCCCCCUCCAUAAAAAAUCACAAUGCAUUUUUAAAGAAGACAAAAAAAAGUGAAUAAACGGACAAUUGGAUGAGUUUGUCAUUUCUCGCCGGCCUUUAUUCGGAUGGUAAGAGAGUAAUUCAGAUGUGCUGGUUGUUACAUACAGUUCACAUUCUCCUGUGUCUGAGCUUUGUAACUCAACAUUUGGUGAUUUUUCUUAUAUUUCAUAUCUGUUGAUUUUACGUUUUUAUUGGUAUAGAAACAUUCUCUGACCAUUUGGGGUGAUGAACUCCUCCUACAGCUCCAAACACGAUGACUUCAAGCUAAACACAGUUUACCCAGAAGCUAACAUUUUGGAUGUACACGUUUUAGUUUUUUUUAAUCCAAUUGCCAUCGCUCCGGUUUAUCGGUUUUUAUACUCUGUUCUCACGAAGACAAGACACAUAAUGUUGAUGUGAACGUGGCUGACGUCAUGACAGGCUAACAAAAAACAUGAUACAGAGCUGUCGGCUAACGCUCACAAACGAGCUAAAAACAGGUCACUGCGGAUGGGAAACUACAAGUGUGUCCACACAAACAUGUUGUUUCCUGUUUCUCUCCAUGUGUGUCUGUGAUUGAGGGCCUCUGAGCUGUCUGUUCCAGUGUCCUAUUGAUGUGUUUUAUGUCACAAGGCCGUGCACUCGCAUGGCCAAUGGGUUCUCUCCCCCCUCGGUGUGUUUGAUGUGGCCCGAUAACAGGGAGAGACAGAGGCUACGGGAAAACACCAUUUAUACCACAGUCCAUCCAUAUUGAUUCAACCAGAUGAUGUAACGCUGAUCAGCAGACAGGAGAGAAUGUAAAAGUCACUGCGUGUGUGCGUGUGUGUGUGUGCGCGUGCGUGUGGGUUAUAAAUGCAUCCAUUAUCCAUUGCUUCAAACAUGUAUUACGUACAUCUCUAAGAUUCCUUUGAAGACAAGUCAUGUUUCUUAUGCUUUUACUUUGAAGGGUAUAUAUGUACAUCUGUGUUGUAAAUAAAUAAUUUUUUGUUCAAAUAACAGAACUCAUAACUAGACUCACGUUAUCUUCCCUGACGAAGCACAUAUGAACUAUAAGAACAUGUCACUCUACAAAGUGAACUCCUGUUGGCACAAACAUGUUUUCAUGUCGACACACGCGCACAGAGAGAAAAGCAGAGAUCCAUUUAUACUUAAAGAAACAUGCACUUAAGUCAACCUUGCUCCCGUUGCUGCGGAUAAUGUGCAGCCAAUUGCACAACAUUAUUAUUUUUUUCUCACACGGAGAAAGGAGGCGAGGAGGCGAAUUAUCCUUCAUUUAGCAUUAAAAUUCAUUUAGGUAAAAUUGCUGCGAACAUGUAAAUGGGGAGAUUAGUUCUCCCUCACGCCUUGUUGCCCGCAGUCUAAAGGGCUCCGCUUGAAGCCCGGCGCUCUGCCGCCGAUGUUGUCUCCGGGAUACGCUGCGCUUUCAGCGGGCUGAGCCGACCGAGCCGAGCGACUUUUAUCUAAUUGAUACAUUUUGGAGAGCAGCCCUGAAUCCCAAAGUCAGUGUUUUGUUUUUUUCCAAACCAGCGAACAAGAGAGAGUCUGUUUUAUCCAUAACAAUAUGCGCGUGUAAAUCAAUACUCCCCCAUUCUCCCUCUCUAUCUCUCCUCCGUGCAGCUAUUGUGUUUUUACUGCCUUUGCUGAAGUGAAUGCUAUUUACACUGAAGAAGAAGAAGGAAAAAAAAGACACGCUCUUAAAA